CCCGGACACGCGGAGUGCGGUGUGCCCGAGGGAAGACGCUUCGCUACGCUGUGCGAACACGUCAGGGAAGGCCGGUGAGAGUCCGGAGCUGCCCCGCAACUGUGAGACCCGGAUCGGGUCGAAGCCAGAUACCUGCCGUGUGAAGUACCCAACG
rnacentral:ncRNA from 1 species